GCCAGUCAAGGCAGAGACCAUCCUGUUUCUUCCACAGCAUCCCGAGGCCUCACACAGCUGGGCCCAGGGAGGCCGCUCUGGAAACACGCGUGGCCCUGACCCAAAGGCGCCCAUUUCCACCUGAAGCCACGGGAAGAGAACUGGCUGAGUUCCACAGACCGACAACCAAGACUCGGGGUCUCUCCCACUAGACCAUGGGCGACAUGAGAAUGGACAGCCCUGCCGGCUUCAGGCACCGCUGGGCCCUGGCGUCUGGAACCAGCCCGGCAGACGAGGGCCUCAGUGAACGUGCCCCGGGGAGGGUGAAUGGUGUAGACCACAACAAGAAUGUCCUGGGCCCUCCUCCUCCACUGUCUGCCUGCUGGCCUCACGCCAGGGCCAGGACCAGGGGCCAGCUCCGGGGCCCCCGAGUCCUGGAAGUAGCCACACCAGCCGAUCCUGAGCUGCUGCGCUGCCUUGCUGGUUCCCACCUGCAGAAACCACAAUAAAGCCAUCUGUCACCGUUG